UACGGAGGGUGCGAGCGUUGUCCGGAAUCACUGGGCGUAAAGGGCGCGUAGGCGGCAUGCCAAGCGUGUGGUGAAAGCCCGGGGCUCAACCCCGGGUCGGCCGUGCGGACUGGCGUGCUCGAGCACUGUAGGGGCGGGUGGAAUUCCGGGUGUAGCGGUGGAAUGCGUAGAGAUCCGGAAGAACACCGGUGGCGAAGGCGGCCUGCUGGGCAGUGGCUGACACUGAGGCGCGACAGCGUGGGGAGCAAACAGG
rnacentral:rRNA from 1 species